rnacentral:rRNA from 1 species
GACGAACGCUGGUGGCGUGCCUAAUACAUGCAAGUCGAGCGGACCAAUAGAAGCUUGCUUCUGUUGGUUAGCGGCGGACGGGUGAGUAACACGUGGGCAACCUGCCUGUAAGACUGGGAUAACUUCGGGAAACCGGAGCUAAUACCGGGUAAUUCAUCCCCUCGCAUGAGGGGAUGCUGAAAGUCGGUUUACGCUGACACUUACAGAUGGGCCCGCGGCGCAUUAGCUAGUUGGUGAGGUAAUGGCUCACCAAGGCGACGAUGCGUAGCCGACCUGAGAGGGUGAUCGGCCACACUGGGACUGAGACACGGCCCAGACUCCUACGGGAGGCAGCAGUAGGGAAUCUUCCACAAUGGACGAAAGCCUGAUGGAGCAACGCCGCGUGAGCGAUGAAGGCCUUCGGGUCGUAAAGCUCUGUUGUUAGGGAAGAACAAGUAUCGGAGUAACUGCCGGUACCUUGACGGUACCUAACCAGAAAGCCACGGCUAACUACGUGCCAGCAGCCGCGGUAA